CCUAAGGUAAGGCGCUUUAACAUAAUUAAUGAUCCUUCCGUAGGUGAACCUGCGGAAGGAUCAUUAAUUAUGUUAAAGCGCCUUACCUUAGGGUUUCCUCUGGGGUAAGUGAUUGCUUCUACACUGUGAAAAUUUGGCUGAGAGACUCAGACUGGUCAUGGGUAGACCUAUCUGGGGUUUGAUCGAUGCCACUCCUGGUUUCAGGAGCACCCUUCAUAAUAAACCUAGAAAUUCAGUAUUAUAAAGUUUAAUAAAAAACAACUUUUAACAAUGGAUCUCUUGGUUCUCGCAUCGAUGAAGAACGUAGCAAAGUGCGAUAACUAGUGUGAAUUGCAUAUUCAGUGAAUCAUCGAGUCUUUGAACGCAGCUUGCACUCUAUGGUUUUUCUAUAGAGUACGCCUGCUUCAGUAUCAUCACAAACCCACACAUAACAUUUGUUUAUGUGGUGAUGGGUCGCAUCGCUGUUUUAUUACAGUGAGCACCUAAAAUGUGUGUGAUUUUCUGUCUGGCUUGCUAGGCAGGAAUAUUACGCUGGUCUCAGGAUCUUUUUUUUUGGUUCGCCCAGGAAGUAAAGUACAAGAGUAUAAUCCAGUAACUUUCAAACUAUGAUCUGAAGUCAGGUGGGAUUACCCGCUGAACUUAAGCAUAUCAAUAAGCGGAGGAA
rnacentral:rRNA from 1 species